GACGUAGGGCGCGAGCGUUGUCCGGAUUUAUUGGGCGUAAAGAGCUCGUAGGUGGUGGCUUAAGCGUGCGGUGAAAGCUCGGGGCUCAACUCCGAGUCGGCCGUGCGAACUGGGCUCACUGGAGCAUAGUAGAGGCAGGUGGAAUUCCGAGUGUAGAGGUGAAAUUCGUAGAUAUUCGGAAGAACACCAGUGGCGAAGGCGACUUACUGGACACAUAUUGACGCUGAGGUGCGAAGGCGUGGGGAGCAAACAGG
rnacentral:rRNA from 1 species